rnacentral:rRNA from 1 species
CGAGGUUAAGCCGUUAGGCGAAGCCGAAGCGAAAGCGAGUCUGAAUAGGGCAUAGAGUUGUUGGACGUAGACCCGAAGCCAGGUGAUCUAUCCAUGACCAGGUUGAAGCGGGGGUAAAACCUCGUGGAGGACCGAACUCACUAAUGUUGAAAAAUUAGGGGAUGAGUUGUGGAUGGGAGCGAAAAGACUAAUCAAACCUGGAGAUAGCUGGUUCUCCCCCGAAAUAUAUUGAGGUAUAGCCUCGCGAGGUUCGCACCGGAGGUAGAGCACUGGAUGGGCUAGGGGUCCCACAGGAUUACCAAACCCAACCAAACUCCGAAUGCUGGUGACGAUAUCGCGGGAGUCAGACUGUGGGAGAUAAGUUCCAUGGUCGAGAGGGAAAGAGCCCAGAUUACCAGCUAAGGUCCCAAAGUGUAUGCUAAGUGGUAAACGAUGUGGGGACACAUAGACAACCAGGAGGUUGGCUUAGAAGCAGCCAUCCUUUAAAGAAAGCGUAAUAGCUCACUGGUCAAGUGGCCCUGCGCGGAAAAUAUAACGGGGC